rnacentral:rRNA from 1 species
GAUGAACGCUAGCGGCAGGCUUAAUACAUGCAAGUCGAGGGGCAGCAAGAUUGUAGCAAUACAAUUGUUGACGACCGGCAAACGGGUGCGGAACACGUACACAACCUUCCUACAAGUGGGGAAUAGCCCAGAGAAAUUUGGACUAAUACCCCAUAGUCUUUUCGGUUGGCAUCAACUGAUUAUUAAAGUUUUUCGGUACAAGAUGAGCAUGCGUCCCAUUAGCUAGUUGGUAUGGUAACGGCAUACCAAGGCUACGAUGGGUAGGGGUCCUGAGAGGGAGAUCCCCCACACUGGUACUGAGACACGGACCAGACUCCUACGGGAGGCAGCAGUGAGGAAUAUUGGACAAUGGGCGGAAGCCCGAUCCAGCCAUGCCGCGUGUGUGAAGAAGGCCUUUUGGUUGUAAAGCACUUUAAGCGAGGAGGAGGCUACCUGGAUUAAUACUCUAGGAUAGUGGACGUUACUCGCAGAAUAAGCACCGGCUAACUCUGUGCCAGCCGCCGCGGUAAGAC